rnacentral:rRNA from 1 species
CGCGGCCUAUCAGCUUGUUGGUGAGGUAAUGGCUCACCAAGGCGACGACGGGUAGCCGGCCUGAGAGGGUGACCGGCCACACUGGGACUGAGACACGGCCCAGACUCCUACGGGAGGCAGCAGUGGGGAAUAUUGCACAAUGGGCGAAAGCCUGAUGCAGCGACGCCGCGUGAGGGAUGACGGCCUUCGGGUUGUAAACCUCUUUCAGCAGGGAAGAAGCCACAAGUGACGGUACCUGCAGAAGAAGCGCCGGCUAACUACGUGCCAGCAGCCGCGGUAAUACGUAGGGCGCAAGCGUUGUCCGGAAUUAUUGGGCGUAAAGAGCUCGUAGGCGGUUUGUCGCGUCUGCUGUGAAAGCCCGGGGCUUAACCCCGGGUGUGCAGUGGGUACGGGCAGACUAGAGUGCAGUAGGGGAGACUGGAAUUCCUGGUGUAGCGGUGGAAUGCGCAGAUAUCAGGAGGAACACCGAUGGCGAAGGCAGGUCUCUGGGCUGUUACUGACGCUGAGGAGCGAAAGCAUGGGGAGCGAACAGGAUUAGAUACCCUGGUAGUCCAUGCCGUAAACGUUGGGCACUAGGUGUGAGGGACAUUCCACGUUUUCCGCGCCGUAGCUAACGCAUUAAGUGCCCCGCCUGGGGAGUACGG